rnacentral:rRNA from 1 species
GACGAACGCUGGCGGCGUGCUUAACACAUGCAAGUCGAACGGAAAGGCCCUGCUUUUGUGGGGUGCUCGAGUGGCGAACGGGUGAGUAACACGUGAGUAACCUGCCCUUGACUUUGGGAUAACUUCAGGUAACUGGGUCUAAUACCGGAUAGGAGCUCCUGCUGCAUGGUGGGGGUUGGAAAGUUUCGGCGGUUGGGGAUGGACUCGCGGCUUAUCAGCUUGUUGGUGGGGUAGUGGCUUACCAAGGCUUUGACGGGUAGCCGGCCUGUGAGGGUGACCGGCCACAUUGGGACUGAGAUACGCCCCAGACUCCUACGGGAGGCAACAGUGGCGAAUAUGGCACAAUGGGCGGAAGCCUGAUGCAGCAACGCCGCGGGCGGGAUGACGGCCUUCGGGUUGUAAACCGCUUUCGCCUGUGACGAAGCGUGAGUGACGGUAAUGGGUAAAGAAGCACCGGCUAACUACGUG